ensembl:rRNA 5S_rRNA 5S ribosomal RNA
GCCAAUGGCCAUACCAUCCUGAACCCACCUGAUCUCACGUGAUCUCUGAAGUUAAGCAGGGUUGAGUCUGGUUAGGACUUGGAUGGGAGACUGCCUGAAAAUACCAGGUGCUGUAGGCU